AGAGUUUGAAUCAUGGCUCAGGAUGAACGCUGGCGGCGUGCCUAAUACAUGCAAGUCGGACGCACUUUCGUUAAAUGAAUUAGAGAUGCUUGCAUCGAAGAUGAUUUUAACCAUAAAGUGAGUGGCGAACGGGUGAGUAACACGUGGGUAACCUGCCCAGAAGCGGGGGAUAACACCUGGAAACAGAUGCUAAUACCGCAUAAUAACGAAAACCGCAUGGUUUUCGUUUAAAAGAUGGCUUCGGCUAUCACUUCUGGAUGGACCCGCGGCGUAUUAGCUAGUUGGUGAGAUAAUGGCUCACCAAGGCAGUGAUACGUAGCCGACCUGAGAGGGUAAUCGGCCACAUUGGGACUGAGACACGGCCCAGACUCCUACGGGAGGCAGCAGUAGGGAAUCUUCCACAAUGGACGCAAGUCUGAUGGAGCAACGCCGCGUGAGUGAUGAAGGCUUUCGGGUCGUAAAACUCUGUUGUUGGAGAAGAACGUGUGUGAGAGUAACUGCUCAUGCAGUGACGGUAUCCAACCAGAAAGCCACGGCUAACUACGUGCCAGCAGCCGCGGUAAUACGUAGGUGGCAAGCGUUAUCCGGAUUUAUUGGGCGUAAAGCGAGCGCAGGCGGUCUUUUAAGUCUAAUGUGAAAGCCUUCGGCUUAACCGAAGAAGUGCAUUGGAAACUGAGAGACUUGAGUGCAGAAGAGGAGAGUGGAACUCCAUGUGUAGCGGUGAAAUGCGUAGAUAUAUGGAAGAACACCAGUGGCGAAGGCGGCUCUCUGGUCUGCAACUGACGCUGAGGCUCGAAAGCAUGGGUAGCGAACAGGAUUAGAUACCCUGGUAGUCC
rnacentral:rRNA from 1 species